UGCCAGCCGCCGCGGUAACACGGGGGGCGCAAGCGUUAUUCGGAAUUAUUGGGCGUAAAGGGCGCGUAGGCGGUCUUGUCGGUCAGAUGUGAAAGCCCAGGGCUCAACCCUGGACGUGCAUUUGAAACUGGCGAACUUGAGUACGGGAGAGGAAAGUGGAAUUCCGAGUGUAGGGGUGAAAUCCGUAGAUAUUCGGAGGAACACCAGUGGCGAAGGCGGCUUUCUGGACCGAUACUGACGCUGAGACGCGAAAGCGUGGGGAGCAAACAGGAUUAGAUA
rnacentral:rRNA from 1 species